AUCCUUUUGUAGUUCAUAAGCAUGAUGAUUGGGUUUUCACAUGCACACAUGAGCUGUGCCUCUCUCCAACCUUGUUAGGAAGUGAGCACCAUUACUCAUCUGAUG
rfam:Pan troglodytes isolate Yerkes chimp pedigree #C0471 (Clint) chromosome 1, whole genome shotgun sequence.